GGUAGUCCACGCCGUAAACGAUGUCGACUUGGAGGUUGUUCCCUUGAGGAGUGGCUUCCGGAGCUAACGCGUUAAGUCGACCGCCUGGGGAGUACGGCCGCAAGGUUAAAACUCAAAUGAAUUGACGGGGGCCCGCACAAGCGGUGGAGCAUGUGGUUUAAUUCGAUGCAACGCGAAGAACCUUACCUACUCUUGACAUCCACGGAAUUUGGCAGAGAUGCAUUAGUGCCUUCGGGAACSGUGAGACAGGUGCUGCAUGGCUGUCGUCAGCUCGUGUUGUGAAAUGUUGGGUUAAGUCCCGCAACGAGCGCAACCCUUAUCCUUUGUUGCCAGCGAUUCGGUCGGGAACUCAAAGGAGACUGCCGGUGAUAAACCGGAGGAAGGUGGGGAUGACGUCAAGUCAUCAUGGCCCUUACGAGUAGGGCUACACACGUGCUACAAUGGCGCAUACAAAGAGAAGCGACCUCGCGAGAGCAAGCGGACCUCACAAAGUGCGUCGUAGUCCGGAUCGGAGUCUGCAACUCGACUCCGUGAAGUCGGAAUCGCUAGUAAUCGUGGAUCAGAAUGCCACGGUGAAUACGUUCCCGGGCCUUGUACACACCGCCCGUCACACCAUGGGAGUGGGUUGCAAAAGAAGUAGGUAGCUUAACCUUCGGGAGGGCGCUUACCACUUUGUGAUUCAUGACUGGGGUGA
rnacentral:rRNA from 1 species